UGAGUUCAGCCUAUCAUUUGAGAUCCGAGUAUGAUUGGGGAAAUAUCCUGAAAUAGUCUAUGAUUUGAAGAAAUGGAUAGAUGGCUAGAAUAACAUGCUAGAUGGUAGUCAAGUUACUAACUGCAGAAUUGAUUUGAUAAAAUUCUCAUCGUGUCUCCUGACUUAGGAGAAAUAUUGGGUCUGAUGAAUGGGUAAAAUUCCCAGGUGAAAAGAAUUUGGUCUGUAAGAUUUGGCAGCACCCUGAGGUUUGCCAUAUCUGAUGGCCUGGCUUUAGUGGCAGCACCUAGUGAAGGCCCAGGUGUCCUUCUGACAACCUUUACCACCUACCGUUUUGUCCUUACUUAUGUUGAAUCACUACACACAGGCUGUUGAAUUCAGCUGUCUGUGGAGAAAUUAUACCAACCACAUGGUUAGACAGAAGGAAUACAAUAUAUUGCUUAAUUUGUAUCUGAAAGCUAAGCAACAUGGAAAAAAAUCAAGCAUGCUCAGUCACUUCCAUGAGGACAAACGAAGACACUUCAAGGAGGACAUUGACAUGGAUCUGCCAGCUUUCUAAGACUUUCCCCAGAUUCAAGUCCAGUCACAUCAAGUUGCCUUAUUAAAGGGUCUGCCCACUCAAAAGGAGAAAGUGCAAAAGAUGCUCAGCAAGGGUAGCAAACGCAGUCAGAUGAUACUUCCUGACAGCAUCCAAGAGCAAGUCUCACCACCACAUCUGUCAAUAAAA
rnacentral:lncRNA from 1 species